UACGGGGGGGGUAAGCGUUGUUCGGAAUUACUGGGCGUAAAGGGCUCGUAGGCGGCCAACUAAGUCAUACGUGAAAUCCCUCAGCUUAACUGGGGAACUGCGUGUGAUACUGGAUGGCUUGGAUUUGGGAGAGGGAUGCGGAAUUCCAGGUGUAGCGGUGAAAUGCGUAGAGAUCGGGAGGAACAUCUGUGGCGAAGGCGGCCACCUGGACCAGCACUGACACUGAGGCACGAAAGCGUGGGGAGCAAACAGG
rnacentral:rRNA from 1 species